GAUGAACGCUGGCGGCGUGCCUAAUACAUGCAAGUCGAGCGAACGGACGAGAAGCUUGCUUCUCUGAUGUUAGCGGCGGACGGGUGAGUAACACGUGGAUAACCUACCUAUAAGACUGGGAUAACUUCGGGAAACCGGAGCUAAUACCGGAUAAUAUUUUGAACCGCAUGGUUCAAAAGUGAAAGACGGUCUUGCUGUCACUUAUAGAUGGAUCCGCGCUGCAUUAGCUAGUUGGUGAGGUAACGGCUUACCAAGGCAACGAUGCAUAGCCGACCUGAGAGGGUGAUCGGCCACACUGGAACUGAGACACGGUCCAGACUCCUACGGGAGGCAGCAGUAGGGAAUCUUCCGCAAUGGGCGAAAGCCUGACGGAGCAACGCCGAGUGAGUGAUGAAGGUCUUCGGAUCGUAAAACUCUGUUAUUAGGGAAGAACAUAUGUGUAAGUAACUGUGCACAUCUUGACGGUACCUAAUCAGAAAGCCACGGCUAACUACGUG
rnacentral:rRNA from 1 species